rnacentral:rRNA from 1 species
UACAGAGGGGGCAAGCGUUGUUCGGAAUUACUGGGCGUAAAGGGCGCGUAGGCGGCCUUCUAAGUCGAACGUGAAAUCCCUGGGCUCAACCCAGGAACUGCGUCCGAUACUGGAAGGCUUGAAUCCGGGAGAGGGAUGCGGAAUUCCAGGUGUAGCGGUGAAAUGCGUAGAUAUCUGGAGGAACACCGGUGGCGAAGGCGGCGUUCUGGACUGUAACUGACACUGAAAAACGAAAGCCAGGGGAGCAAACGGG